AGACCAGGAGAGCCCUCGGCCUGCAUCUUCUGCAGGAGGGCGUCCAGGAGGGUUUUAGGGGCUAAAGAUGGUAGGGCAAAGCCCCCUGGUUGCUCCUUGGCGGGUUCUCCAAUUACUUACAUGGAGAUCACAUCAAUAUGACCCCCAAGAUGAUGCCAGGGGCCCUGCUUCUAGUAGAAUGGAGCCAUACCAGCUCUACAGACUUUAUUGGGGUCCAGGGUGGAGACACUUUUGGGAGCCAGCUUUGUCAGCAUCCCUGACAUCUGAGCUGCCCAGGCUGCACAGGACCAAGGGCUAUCUUCCAAUGGAUGUUGGAAGCCCGGAAGCCCCUUGACUGUUACCAGGCCGGGGUGUGGAGUGAUCCUCACAGGAGCUGCUGGGUUCUCUUGCUCUCUGGGCUUGCUUCAGGAUUUUUUCUUGAGCAGCCAUGGGACCUCACAAAGGAGUAGCACCUGAAUCAGCCUGCAAAGGCAUCUUCCACCAGUCCUAGGACCUGCAGGGGGCAGGGGGUGUUGCAGGCAGAUCUCCGUCUGACCCUGUCAUCUGAGUCACCCCAAUAAAGGUGUCAAGAGCUCUCCAGUGGUCCAG
rnacentral:lncRNA from 1 species